UACAGAGGUCCCAAGCGUUGUUCGGAUUUACUGGGCGUAAAGGGUGCGUAGGUGGCGAGGUAAGUUCGAUGUGAAAUCUCCGAGCUCAACUCGGAAAUGGCAUUGAAUACUAUCCCGCUUGAGGGUCGGAGGGGAGACUGGAAUUCUCGGUGUAGCAGUGAAAUGCGCAGAUAUCAGGAGGAGCACCGGUGGCGAAGGCGGGUCUCUGGGCCGAUACUGACGCUGAGGAGCGAAAGCGUGGGGAGCGAACAGG
rnacentral:rRNA from 1 species